AAUUUGAAUUACUUUUUUUGCACCUGCCUGUACUCUAAUCCAAACAACCAUCCAAGUUAAUAAUUUUCUCUUUACAAUGCACCCUGCAUUUUGUACCUAUACAAGAGUGGUCAGAAUGUGUGAAAACUGCUGAGUCAUCCUGACAGCAUGGCUCCAGUAGAUUCUAGGGGUCGGCUAUAGUAUUGAGUGAUAUUAAAAUAACAAAUAAUGCACAAAAGGCAUGGAUCUAAAAAAGUCUUUAGGAAUCUUCACUCACUGAGAGCUCAUAUUCAGGACACAGUUUCUUCUUCAAAUCACCUUGGACAAACUUUGAUAUCUGAAGGUGGAAACCAUCCCUUUUCCCUCUGGAGCUGGAGUGAUGUUCACGGAAGGCAAAGCAGCUGGGCCUGAAUGGGGCUAAGCUCUGGGAGCCAUGAGUGUCUC
rnacentral:lncRNA from 1 species